rnacentral:rRNA from 1 species
AGCAGCCGCGGUAAUUCCAGCUCCAAUAGCGUAUAUUAAAGUUGUUGCAGUUAAAAAGCUCGUAGUUGAAUUUCGGGAUCAGUAGGUCGGUCAUGCCUCUGGUAUGUACUGGCCUCACUGGUUCCUCCUUCCUGAUGAACUGUAAUGCCAUUAAUUUGGUGUUGCGGGGAGACUGGACUGUUACUUUGAAAAAAUUAGAGUGUUUAAAGCAGGCUAACGCUUGAAUACAUUAGCAUGGAAUAAUGAAAUAGGACGUUCGAUCCUAUUUUGUUGGUUUCUAGGAUAGACGUAAUGAUUAAUAGGGAUAGUUGGGGGCAUUAGUAUUCAAUUGUCAGAGGUGAAAUUCUUGGAUUUAUUGAAGACUAACUACUGCGAAAGCAUUUGCCAAGGAUGUUUUCAUUAAUCAAGAACGAAAGUUAGGGGAUCGAAGACGAUCAGAUACCGUCGUAGUCUUAACCAUAAACUAUGCCGACUAGGGAUCGGAUGAUGUUAUUUUUAAUGACUCAUUCGGCGCCUUACG